AGUGAACGCUGGCGGUAGGCCUAACACAUGCAAGUCGAACGGCAGCACAGUAAGAGCUUGCUCUUACGGGUGGCGAGUGGCGGACGGGUGAGGAAUACAUCGGAAUCUACUUUUUCGUGGGGGAUAACGUAGGGAAACUUACGCUAAUACCGCAUACGACCUACGGGUGAAAGCAGUGGAUCUUCUGACCUUGCGCGAUUGAAUGAGCCGAUGUCGGAUUAGCUAGUUGGCGGGGUAAAGGCCCACCAAGGCGACGAUCCGUAGCUGGUCUGAGAGGAUGAUCAGCCACACUGGAACUGGAACACGGUCCAGACUCCUACGGGAGGCAGCAGUGUGGAAUAUUGGACAGUGGGCGCAAGCAUGAUCCAGCCAUAGCGCGUGGGUGAAGAAGGCCUUCGGGUUGUAAAGCCCUUUUGUUGGGAAAGAAAAGCAGCAGGUUAAUACCCAGCUGUUCUGACGGUAACCAAAGAAUAAGCACCGGCUAACUUCGUG
rnacentral:rRNA from 1 species